rnacentral:rRNA from 1 species
UACAGAGGUCUCAAGCGUUGUUCGGAAUUACUGGGCGUAAAGGGCGCGUAGGCGGUGUGUCAAGUCAGGCGUGAAAGCCCCGGGCUCAACCUGGGAACAGCGCUUGAGACUGGCACGCUCGAGUUCGGGAGAGGAUGGUGGAAUUCCCAGUGUAGAGGUGAAAUUCGUAGAUAUUGGGAAGAACACCGAUGGCGAAGGCAGCCAUCUGGACCGACACUGACGCUGAGGCGCGAAAGCGUGGGGAGCAAACAGG